CUUAUUUCCUGAGGAAGUUUAGAUGACUCUUGUGUUGAAGAUUAAUCUCCAUGUUGUAACAUGAACUACUACAGAGGAGGUUUUAAAUCCUUUGCCAGGUGUUUCUACGUCUGUCUGUCCCAACCGUGAGGCUGCAGUCAGGAAACUUUACAGCUGUGUAGUUGAGAUCUAAAUGAAGGCUGAGUUUGAAGAUGGGGGGGGGUCUGAGCCUUUCUCCUGCUGUCAGAAAACACACCGUCGUCUCCACCAGCGUAAAGUCAGACACAACAGGACUCUACUGUUUCCUCUGGGACCUUUCAGAAUAAAAUGUAGUGACCUAAAUGCCUCUGUUACUGUUGUAGUGAUGUGUGGAGGAGGAGAAGUGUCUUUAAUGUCAUUGUUUUUAACGUCUCAGGCAGGGUUUCUCUACCAUUGGAGCCGUUUUAGGUACCACCUAACUGAAUUAAUGUGAAGUCAAUCCCUUCCUGCCUGCUUCCUGACAGGUGGAGCUGGGACUCAUUCCAGGAAACAGCUCACCUGUGUCAGAGAUUUCUCUCCAGGUGGAGAGUGACCCUCUUCUUCAUCAACUCUUCUUCAUCAACUCUUCUUCAUCAACUCUUUGGACUGUUUGAGGAAACUAAAACAAACGGUCGUCUCCAUCAGAGUAAAGUGAGACACAACACAACUCUACUGUUUCUGAUAAAAGGUUCAAGGUUCAAGGUUCGGCUUUAUUGGCAUUAUACAACAGAAUUGUCCAAUGAAAUGCAAUCGUCAUUUACAGCUGGCUCUGAUGAAUUUAAGUUACCAACCGGGCUGCCUCUGUGGACUUUGGGCUAAAAUAUAUGAAAGAAAAGUCAAAAUAUCGGAAAGAAAGUCAAACAUUAUUCCAAAAAGGCGACAAAAACCUUAAAAAAGGAACAAAAACUUGUAAAAAGCCCCCCUCCAUAAGUCCUGCCUAUGUGUACAUAGUUUUCUCUCCACGUUAGUUAUCUGGGCAUUAGGGCUCAACCAUGUGGGGGAAACAAUCUAAUUGUGAUUUUUCUGCCAAGUUAGUCUUUGGUCUCUUCAGGGUUAGUUUCUGGCUCUGUAAUGUUAAAUAUAAUGUUUCUACUUCACUUCUUAUUUCCUGAGAAAGUGUUAAGGACUCUUGUGUUGAAGAUCAGAAAUCUGUCUGCAGCAGUUAGUGUCGGUCGUUCUAUUCACUGACAGGACUGAUGUGGAGACAACAUGACUCAGCUCUUUUAUUCUCUAACUAAACCAACUAAUAUGGAACUGCGUCACUAUGAGCUGGCACUCCUCCAACAGGAACUAGUGGCACUUCUUUAUGAUGCAACUCUGUGUUCAAAUUCAAUAACAUGUUAUUUGUAGUGUCCAAUCCUAAUCAGGACACUCUACAAAUAGAUUAGGUGUAGACCAAACUCUCAGCAAUCAUUUGGUGUCGAGAUAAAAACUUCUGA